rnacentral:rRNA from 1 species
GACCUAAUACAUGCAAGUCGAACGCACAGCGAAGGUGCUUGCACCUUUCAAGUGAGUGGCGAACGGGUGAGUAACACGUGGACAACCUGCCUCAAGGCUGGGGAUAACAUUUGGAAACAGAUGCUAAUACCGAAUAAAACUUAGUGUCGCAUGACACAAAGUUAAAAGGCGCUUCGGCGUCACCUAGAGAUGGAUCCGCGGUGCAUUAGUUAGUUGGUGGGGUAAAGGCCUACCAAGACAAUGAUGCAUAGCCGAGUUGAGAGACUGAUCGGCCACAUUGGGACUGAGACACGGCCCAAACUCCUACGGGAGGCUGCAGUAGGGAAUCUUCCACAAUGGGCGAAAGCCUGAUGGAGCAACGCCGCGUGUGUGAUGAAGGCUUUCGGGUCGUAAAGCACUGUUGUAUGGGAAGAACAGCUAGAAUAGGAAAUGAUUUUAGUUUGACGGUACCAUACCAGAAAGGGACGGCUAAAUACGUGCCAGCAGCCGCGGUAAUACGUAUGUCCCGAGCGUUAUCCGGAUUUAUUGGGCGUAAAGCGAGCGCAGACGGUUUAUUAAGUCUGAUGUGAAAGCCCGGAGCUCAACUCCGGAAUGGCAUUGGAAACUGGUUAACUUGAGUGCAGUAGAGGUAAGUGGAACUCCAUGUGUAGCGGUGGAAUGCGUAGAUAUAUGGAAGAACACCAGUGGCGAAGGCGGCUUACUGGACUGCAACUGACGUUGAGGCUCGAAAGUGUGGGUAGCAAACAGGAUUAGAUACCCCUGGUAGUCCACACCGUAAACGAUGAACACUAGGUGUUAGGAAGGUUUCCGCUUCUUAGUGCCGGAAGCUAACGCAUUAAAGUGUUUCCGCCUGGGGAGUACGACCGCAAGGUUCGAAACUUCAAAGAAUUGACGGGGACCCCGCAUCAGCUGCUGUAAGAUGUU